rnacentral:rRNA from 1 species
GAGCUUGCUCUUGCUGACGACCGGCGCACGGGUGCGUAACGCGUAUACAAUCUGCCUUACACUAAGGGAUAGCCCAGAGAAAUUUGGAUUAACACCUUAUAGUUUAUUUUUAUGGCAUCAUUUAAAUAAUAAAGUUUACGGUGUAAGAUGAGUAUGCGUCCCAUUAGUUUGUUGGUAAGGUAACGGCUUACCAAGACUACGAUGGGUAGGGGCCCUGAGAGGGGGAUCCCCCACACUGGUACUGAGACACGGACCAGACUCCUACGGGAGGCAGCAGUGAGGAAUAUUGGACAAUGGAGGAGACUCUGAUCCAGCCAUGCCGCGUGCAGGAAGACGGUCCUAUGGAUUGUAAACUGCUUUUAUACAGGAAGAAUAAGGACUACGUGUAGUCUGGUGACGGUACUGUAAGAAUAAGGACCGGCUAACUCCGUGCCAGCAGCCGCGGUAAUACGGAGGGUCCGAGCGUUAUCCGGAAUUAUUGGGUUUAAAGGGUCCGUAGGCGGGCUGUUAAGUCAGGGGUGAAAGUUUGCAGCUCAACUGUAKAAUUGCCUUUGAUACUGAUGGUCUUGAAUUAUUGUGAAGUGGUUAGAAUAUGUAGUGUAGCGGUGAAAUGCAUAGAUAUUACAUAGAAUACCGAUUGCGAAGGCAGAUCACUAACAAUUGAUUGACGCUGAUGGACGAAAGCGUGGGUAGCGAACAGGAUUAGAUACCCUGGUAGUCCACGCCGUAAACGAUGGAUACUAGCUGUUUGGAUUUCGAUCUGAGCGGCCAAGCGAAAGUGAUAAGUAUCCCACCUGGGGAGUACGUUCGCAAGAAUGAAACUCAA